rnacentral:tRNA from 1 species
GGGGAUAUGGUGAAACUGGCAGACACGCUGUCUUGAGGGGGCAGUGCCGCAAGGCUUGGGAGUUCAAAUCUCCCUAUCCCCACCA